GGUCUUAUAGUCAAAAAAAAUGAUGUUAAAUUGCAAAUUUAAAGUUAGAGUUUCUUAAGGCUU
rnacentral:tRNA from 1 species